AACGAACGCUGGCGGCAGGCUUAACACAUGCAAGUUGAACGGGAUUCAUUCUAGCUUGCUAGAAUGAUGAGAGUAGCGCACGGGUGAGUAACACAUGGGAACGUACCAUGAAGAGGGGGAUAACAGUUGGAAACGACUGCUAAUACCGCAUAAUCCCUGAGGGGGAAAGAUUUAUCGCUUUAUGAACGGCCCGCGGAAGAUUAGAUAGUUGGUGGGGUAAAGGCCUACCAAGUCUACGAUCUAUAGCUGGUCUGAGAGGACGAUCAGCCACACUGGGACUGAGACACGGCCCAGACUCCUACGGGAGGCAGCAGUGAGGAAUAUUGGGCAAUGGGGGCAACCCUGACCCAGCCAUGCCGCGUGAGUGAAGAAGGUUUUCGGAUUGUAAAGCUCUUUCGGAUGUGAAGAUGAUGACGGUAGCAUCUAAAGAAGCCCCGGCAAACUUCGUGCCAGCCGCCGCGGUAACAC
rnacentral:rRNA from 1 species